ensembl:lncRNA
GUUGCUGGUUCCAAAAUGAUCUGGACGUAAAGAUGAUGGAGACCACAUCUUCCCACGCCGACAGACCAUAGUGAUGUCCUGCCAGUGAACGAGCUCAUGGACCUCUGGCCUGCUCUCAAAAUAGAAUCUUAGGUAAUAUGGAUCAGCUCUCUCUUUUAAAGUGAAAAUUGUGAUUCUUACUCAUCUGGCCGCUUCAUGAAUGUGUGCUAGAUUCUUCGAAUUGAACUGUUUUUUUAAGUGUUGUUGCUGUAUUCUCCUGCUGUUAUUUCAAUGUAGUUGUAUGCAGAGUUCCAGCGGAUUACGAAUCAGCACCUGCCCAACACAUUCUAUGCUGAGCAUGACCACCAUCUUCCUCGACUGAUGACCUUAUUCAGACAGAAGGCAUCAAAAACUGGGAAUACAGCAGAUUCUCUGGCUGAAAUUUUAAAGUCCACAAUGAACAGGUAAAUAGAUUAUUACACAUUUCAUAGGUUGAACCAUCACAACAUUGAACAGGUUCAAUGAUUCAAAUGAGCUUUGUGAAUUUUGCAAUUAGUCCACUUUGUGUUUGCCAUUUGUCUGAUUGCAUUAAAGAUGUGAACAGGGUAUUUGUGGACAUAUGUUCUGAUUUGACUGUUUAAAAUCAGCUUUGUUCAGUAAAUUCUUCAGUGUAUACAAUUCUGUUUUUAUCUGAAUAGGAAAUCCAUGACAUCCACACCAAGCGCUCUACUGUCCUCCACGCCCUUCCUGUGUAUCUGUUUGAGGAUGUUUCUGGAUUUUUCAGAACCUGCACAGACGAGUCUGAUGAGCCAGAGCUUGAUGGUGUUGCAGUGGGCCUCCUUGCUGUCAUCAGUGACCAUGACACAAUCCAGUUCACUACCACCCUACCCUGCACAGUGAAGACAUGGGGGAACCUUUCACCAUCCUCCACAGCAUCUCGUAUGUCAAAGAUAAACUCCACACCAUGGAGCUCCUGCUGCUCCGCAUUCAGAAAAACCCACAGGAAACCAAAGGAAGUGGAUACUCAGUGUCUUCGGAGUUCCUCACUCACUAAAUGGUUUAAAGGUUCUUGGAUCAUUAUGUUUAAAUGCGCACUACAGUCAUAAUCCUAAGCAGUUAAUAAAGUAAUCAGUCGUUUCAGUUAGAAUCAGCGAUUCUGUUAUUUGACCUUCAAGGGUGCUCAGCUCCCACCACUUAAAAAUCUAUGAAUUCAAUGUUUUCCCCCUCAGCUAAACUGUUUCUGUUUUGCAGCCAUAGCAAUCUUCUCUACAUGUUUCAUGUGGUUCCUCCUAUUCUUACUCUCUGUUCAUACUCUGUAUCCUCAUCUUUCCCUUUUUGCAUUGACAGUUACACACAAACAUGAAGAUGAGAAGUCCUGAGUUUGAUGACAUGAAUGAAAUGUGGGGCAGAAACAAUUAGAAAAAUAUCAAUAGGUCUAAUUAAUUACAUUUUUAGUGGUUCUUGUUGUCUAUAGAGAAAGUCACUAGACUCCAUUAAAAAGUCGCUCCAUUUUGAGACUUUUGUUAACAGAAACUGGAUAGACUUUGUGAAUUGUGUCUAUAACACAUUCUUAAUUAUUUUGGUCUAGUUGUUUAUUUGGCAGAGGUGAUGCAAAAUAAACACCAACUUCACUUGUACAAGACAUAGUUAUUACAAUUAUGUACGCACAUGGAGCCAAACAUUCAGAACUCAUAAUAAAAUAAAAGAAAUCAUUUUCAAAAUGUAGAACCACAACAAUAAACUAUUUUUGUCAACUCUGGUUAACAUGUCAAAAUUCCAUUCAGAAAGAAACCCCUUUCCACCAAUAGAUACAUGUUUCACUGGUCUCAAUAAUAUUUGGCUUUGUUUGAAUUUGAACCGAUCCGAUGAUGCCUGAUCUGUCAGGGAAUGUUUUGAUCACUUUUCCACUCAUUCAGGAAUUUCUGGGAGCAGUGGUUUAGGUUUUAUCAUGACAUAAUCAUGUGACGUCUCUCUUGAUCUCCAUCUCUUCGAGUGGGUUUGAAAAGGGUU